rnacentral:lncRNA from 1 species
GGCGACGGGGGUUUGUAGGUGGAUGGUUUUUAGCGAGCGCGCACGCACGGAGCAGACAGCUUGGGCAUGUUCCAAAACACUUCCCACGCCCCCCCCCCCCCCCCCNNNNNNNNNNNNNNNNAAAAAAAAAAAAAAAGGCAAAAAAAAAAAAGCACCUAUUCCCAAAGGCAGGCAGAGCAGCCAGCGAGCGUGGAAGGGGUGAGGAGCACCCACAGGCUGAUGUCUUGCUACGGAGGGGAGUGUGUUGCAAAGGCUGAGCGGGUCCCAGCCGCUCUCCGGAGGGGCAGAGCACAGGUUCCUUGCCUCACCAGCAGCUCCUUGCAAGAUUUCAGCUCUGGGCUGCGCGUCCAGAACUGA